rnacentral:lncRNA from 1 species
GACAGGCCUUGGGUCUCACUUGAACCAACUCUCUCAAGACAUUAACAUGGCCCUUGAUGGCGGCAACAUGUAGAGGAUUUUUCCCAUCUCGAUCGCAAGCACAACACAUUUUGGGAUUGACCGAUAAUAAUUUCAGCACUAUGCCAAGGUGCCCUUUUGCAGCUGCGAAGUGAAGUGCUGACGAUCUUCUGGAAUCGAGCUCUCCAGCUAACUCAGGCUUUCGACUUAAAAUUUCCCGCACAAAGCUUUCAUGUCCAAGCAUUGAAGCUAUGUGCAAAGGGGUCUCAGAGUAACAACUCACCAUUGAUCUAUCGAGAAGCAGAGCAUCCUCUUGAAGCAAUUUAAGCAAAGAUUCUACGCUGCCCUCAACCGCUGCUUCAUAGACCCUCCUCUCCAUUUGUUUAAAUUCACCAGACUGGUCACAAAAGAAGUUACAAUCCUUCGAAUUUUUUUUUUCUUAUUUUCUCAAUUGUAUGUAGGCUCACAAAGAUUCAAGUGAUCUCUCCGUUAUGACUCGAAAGAUGAAGUCUGGUACUUCAUUUAAGCUGCAUUAUUUUGGAGAUAUUUCUUUAGGUCUAGUGAAGUCAACUUACAAGUCUUCUUGGUGUGGGGUUAAUUUUAGGAGACCGAUUUAUUGUGGACCACUUAAUCCUCAUGGCUUAUCCCAAAUCAUAUGGUGGACUGACUUUAAUGUCAGGUUAUAUAUUUUUUUUUUGGUGUAAGUUAUUUGGUAUCCGGCGAUCGCAUUGGGUCUUGACUAAUCUGAAUUCAAGGUUAUCAUAUGGUGGACUGACUUUAAUGUCAGGUUAUGUUUUUUUUUUUUUUUUGGUGUAAGUCAUUCGGUAUCCGGCGAUCGCAUUGGGUCCUGAUUAAUCCGAAUUCAAGGUGUAGUCACAGUUAAGACUCUUUACCCCUCCCAAAUGAGGUGUUUAGUGAGGAUCGAACCCGAGAGCUCUUCCCACAAACUUAGCCUGCGCUGCCAACUGAGUCAUAACCAUUUGAUUCAGGUUAUGUUAUUUUACUCUAGUGGAAUUAUCUAUUAAUUAAAUACUUAUUUGCUAUGAUUUAUUUGAUAGUUUGCUUAUUUAAUUUUAUAAGUAUUUAAAAAAAAUUGGUGUUUAGAUAUUUUGUGAGUAGAAUUUUUUAAAUUUAAAUAAAUUAAUUUACCUAUGCUAAUAAAAUUCAAAAUUUGAGUUUUUGAGAAUAGAAGUUAGAGAGCUUUUCCUAAGAAAUAUUUCAUAUAAAAAAUAUCCUUAAAAUAUUUCAUUAAUUACAUAAUAACCUAUUACGUACAAAACCUACAGAAUAAAAAGCGUUGCCGCCAUCUACUUUUUUUCUUUUCUUUUUUUAAUAAAAUAGCCGGCACUUUAAUUAUACAAAACCGUAUACAUACCUAACACUUGAGUGGAAACUCAUCGUCAUGGCCAACACUUUUGGUGGGGAGUGUACCUUUAUCUUUGUUUUUAUUAUAUCAAUCAUUAUGUUUAUUGCCACUAUUUUAUUAUAUCAAUCAUUAUGUAUAUUGCCACUAUUUGGGACUAUUUCAUAUUUGUUUUUAUUAUAUUAAUCGUUAUGUCGAUUCGAUUUCUUCUGAAUACCGAUGUUUUACUCGCCUCUAAUUGGAGUGCCACGUCAAAAUUAUUACAUGGUGUGCCUAAGACUUCCUUAUAUAUAAAAAAUAAUAAUAAAUAAAUAAAAGUACCAUACGCACCUAUAUGUUAAUAAGAUUUCGUAUUAUUAAGGUGCCUACAAUGCAAUUUUCUUUUCUUUGAUGUAUGACGAAUAUAAAAUAUAAAAGACGAAAAGAAUGCCCACACCUCUUGUAGUGCGAAGGCAAAAGCAAACUCUUCGGAAUUUUUUUUUCCCCUGAAUUUUUGCCCACCUUGUCGUUUCCAUAAGAAUCCUGCAUUGCAUUUACUUAAGAGAUAUUAUUUUCAUUGAGACGGCGGCAAUCAUAGAGGUAUGUAGGCGCUAGGGGUACAGCAGAAACUGUUAAAACUGUAUUGAAACAAAACGAUUGGACCCAAAUACUGCAAACAUUUUUUGGGCCACUUAUUGCUUCGACAUCGUGGCCUAACACAUUGGGCUAUUUGUUGUUGCCAACACGGUGAAACUAUUCCCACCCCUUCAAAGUCCUCUUAAAACCCCUCCUUUUUCGCACUUAAAAAUAUUAUAAUAACGUAAAUAUCGAAUGACUCUCCUUUUAAUUUCAAAAGGAAAAUUUAUAAUGAUCCACUUGUUUGUUUUGCAUUUUUUAAAAAUACACAAACACUUUUUUUUUCAGCGCGCUACCUAAAAUUUGUUUUUUGUUACAUUCGUCCACUUCCGUCUAAUUUCCGUUAGUGGAUUUAACGGAAUAUUAACGAAAUGACCUUUUUACCCCUCAAAAUUACAAUUUAACCCAAAAUAAAUGAAAAUUGGAGAUAAAUUGGAUGGAUUUAAUUUUUUUCAAAGGUGGAUGCUAGAAAUUGGAGGAAAAUAGUGUUUGUUGCUUGCUAAAUUUAUCUCCAAUUUCUAUUUAUUUUUGGUUAAAUUGUAAUUUUGAGGGGUAAAAAGGUCAUUCCGUUAAAUUUGCUAACAGAAAUUAAACGGAAGUGAAUGAAUGCAACAAAAAGCAAACUCCAGGUGGCGCGCUGAAAAAAAAAGUGUUUGUAUAUUUUUAAAAAAAGGCAAAAUAAACAGAUGGACGGUUAUAAAUUUCUCAUUUCAAAAUAACCCUCGUUGUCCAUUUUAUUUCAAGCCGCAAUAUCAUAGUGGUUCUUGUUGCUCACAAAAAAAAAAAAUUGUCUCAAAAAAGGGUAAAUGAGCAAGCGCCUGCCCAAAAAAAAACUCCUCCAAUUAAAAUGAGUAAUUUUUGCUUUAAAAAAAAUGAUAAAUGAGCAAUAGUUAUUCUUGUUGCUCAAAGACUCUUCAUGCUUAAUGAUUGCAUGUUGCAGCUCAAUCAAAAAGACGAAAGAAUUGAAAAAAAAAAAAAAAAAGCUUACUCGUCUUCUCUUUCCGUAGACUGAUUGUUCGGUUUCAGUUCUCAGAUUUCAAUUUUACCCUAUGUCCUCAUUUCAUCUCUUGGAUUUUCAAUUAUGGUGUGGGUUUAUUUGAGUUUGGAGAUGGAAUUGUGCUUAUUUGGUAAGUGUUGAGUUUUGGGUUUUUUAUUUGAACAUGAAUUUUGUUAGUUGCGAUACAAACUGAGUUAUAAUAAGUAGGUAAAUUUUUAGAUUGCUUGUUCUUAUAAUAAUUUCUUUUAAAAUGUUUGCUUAUUGAAAAUAUAGAUAAUCGAAUUAUAUUCAAGGUUAUAUUUGCUGGCUUAUUCCGAUUUGUAGAAGAAUUUUGCAAUACCCUUUAUACUAUUACGAAUUUGUUAAAGAUUAUGGAAGUUGGGAUAAUGUAGAAGGUUUUAUUAAAUUUUUAUUAUUUAGUCUCAAAUCCCUACUAAUUUUCAAGCAACUUUUAAAAAUGUAUUUCUGCGAAUCCUAAUCUUCAUUAAAUUUUGACUUAGUGACUUCAUAGGCUUUUAAAUUAGUUGAAUUCUACAUUUCAAUCAUAAAUUUUAAGGUGCAUUAUGCAAGAUAGGAUGUGCUAAGAUCGGAGGAGAUGAGAUAAGAUAGAAUAUGACUGAAUUAUGUUUAAAUUGUCUUGUAUUUGGUAUAAUUCAAUAGUUAUGAAUAAAUUGGAUUGUAAUAAUAAUUUUUCAUUAUUAAAAUUAACUAUAAAUAAAUAAAUAUUUUAAUCAUAGUUUAAUUGUAUUAUUACAAAUGAAAGUUCAUUUAAUAUAAAAUAAAAAAACAUCUUUGAUUGUAAAAUACUUUCAGAUUUUUACUAAUAAUAUUUUAUAUUAUAAUAUUAAAUUUUAUUAUUUUUAUUAUUAUUAAAAUAUGAUUGAAUUAUGUUUAAAUUGUCUUGUGUUUGGCAUAAUUCAAUAGUUAUAAUUAAAUUGGAUUGUAAUAAUAAUUUUUCAUUAUUAAAAUUAACUAUAAAUAAAUAAAUAUUAGCAGAAUUUAAUAAUUAAUUUAAAAUGUAAAUUUGAAAAUUUGAAAUUUUAAGAAAAUUUAAUAAUUAUAUAAAUUAAAUUAUUAUUAUUAUUGUUUAAUGUGAAAAACGAAAUAUAAUAUUAAACAUAUUACUUACGUAAAUAAAUAAAUUAUUUUUAAUAAACAUUAUAAUACUAAAAAAUUAUUUUAAAUGAAUUAAUUAAAAAGUCAUAAUUAUAAUGAUUAUAUUUAUUACUUACAUUAUUAUAGGUGCAGGAUAUCCAUAGUUAAGUGGGUAUUUAGGACUAUAUAAAAGUGAAAGAUAUUACCUUCUUAAAUUUGGUAGAGAUAGCUAAUCAAUGGGUCAUAAAGAAUUGUUCAACUACAAACACUCUUUCUUGAUAUGUGUUAUUGAGUGUACUUUUAGGGUUUAGAAGAAUACACGGAAUAUUUUACGAAAUAUGACAAGUUAUCCAUUCAAGAAGUAGGUUGAAGAUAGUUAUUGUUACCAUGACUUUACAUAAUUACAUUAGAAGAUAUUCACAAAUUCAUGAUCAUUUUGAUGAAAUAAUGGAUGAGCCAAGUCAUAGUAUUAGUGAACAUAUAUAUAAGCAAUAUUGCAUCUCAUAAAUAAAGUUAUGAUACAAUUGAUAAUACAGCUCAAGAUAUAAUAAUCUUGAGAGACAACAUUGCUGUGAGUUUAAUGGAGGCAUGACAAAAUAAAUAUACGAGUUUUGUAAUUAAUUACAUUUUAAUUUUAUUAUGAAAUAUUAUAUUAUCUUUAUUAGACAUAGUUGGUAUAAUUUAUUUCUUCAAUCAAUAUUUAAAAUUAAAAUUUAUUUAUUUUAAAAAUUAUUUAUUACAACUUGUGCAAAAAAAUAAAUUUGAUUUAUUAAAUAUUAAUUUAAUUUGUGAAGUAAUAAAUCGUAAUUGUAUGUCAAUAUAAUAAUUCAAUGUAUGAAAAAUAAUGUGAUUUGUUAACAAUUAAAAAUAACGUUAUUUAAAAUUAAUUAUUACAAAUAUUCAUGCACUCCAUAAAUAUUAAAAUUUACUAAAUAUCAUCAGCUUCUGCAGCUUAAAAGAUUCAAUAUUUUUACCAAACACUAUCGAAUUCUACUCUACAACUAUAAUUUUUACACCCCAGCAAUUAUAACUUAAAAAUUAUUGUAUCUAACUCUCAAACGCACCCUUAUUAUACUCAUCCCACGGGGGCUGUGCACAUUAGACGGUAUGAAUAGGAUGUGCUGCGUGAGCAUCCGAACUUGAGGGUUGCCGUGGUGAUCUCUUCAUUAAUUUUAGCAAAAAUUUUAUCAUCUUCACCAUAAGGCGUACAAUGUGCGCGAGAAUAAGAAUCCCUAUCAGCCCAAUCCAUCCAUCCAUUACAUAUAAAAAACCACACUGGGGUGCCACGCUGUUACCCGAAUUCGUAAUACCAACUACCCCGAACAGAUAAGUUAGUGCCAUUGCACUAAUUGCAACCCACGUUAUCACAGUUAAAAUCCACAUGAAAAACCUGCGCUUAAAAAAUGGGAUGCCGCUUAUGAGCAAUAAUAUGAUGCUAAGAGACGCCACAAAGCCUGUGGUGUUAAAACCAAAGAAAAGAUAGUAAACACUCUCAACAUUAGUUAGCAUUAUCGAAGACCCUGCGUCAUGUGGUGAAGUGUCGUUUGCUUGGGAAUCGUCUUGCCAUACACCACCAGGAGGGUUCAGAGCAGCUUGAAAUGCCAUGGUAGCGAUGAGUGAUGCUACCACCAUUAAUGCAUUACGCUUUUUUUCGGACCAUUCAUCUUCUUGCUUUUUUCUAACCUUCUCUGGACGUUCACGCCCUUGAUUACUAGGGUCAUCAGAAUGGGAUGUUAUGAUCGAUCCUGUCGGUGUCUGUGUGAUGGCUGGAGAAGGUUCGCGUGUUUCCUUCUGACUUCUUGCUCCAGCGCAUCGAAGCAGCUCUCCGAUCGUCCAAUUCACAUCUAAUUUUCUUCGUGCUAAAAUAUCCAAAGCUGUGAAGCCAUUUGCAUUAACAGCAUUCACUUCUAAUGUAGUACAGCUGUCAGUCAAAAACUUUAUCGUCUGCACGUUUUCGGGUUUCGCAUUAUAUAUAAGUUAAAUACAAAGGGAAAAGAAAGAGUAGAAUUAAUCAACUAAUUAAUGGUAAGGAGAUAUAUCAUUAAUUAUUAGCUACAUUAUAUAUACCUCUACUUGUUUAUCGAUGACGGCGAGAUGCAAGAUAGUGUUGCCAUCGUCGUCCUUCGAAUUCACAAACUCAUGAUCAUUCAGUGUCUCCACCAGCAACUUCAGGCACUCCAACUGGUUAUAAUUCACACAAGCAUGCAAAAUUGUCUCACCUCUGUCCAUCAAGAUUCGACAGGCCUUGGGUCUCACUUGAACCAACUCUCUCAAGACAUUAACAUGGCCCUUGAUGGCGGCAACAUGUAGAGGAUUUUUCCCAUCUCGAUCGCAAGCACAACACAUUUUGGGAUUGACCGAUAAUAAUUUCAGCACUAUGCCAAGGUGCCCUUUUGCAGCUGCGAAGUGAAGUGCUGACGAUCUUCUGGAAUCGAGCUCUCCAGCUAACUCAGGCUUUCGACUUAAAAUUUCCCGCACAAAGUUUUCAUGUCCAAGCAUUGAGGCUACGUGCAAAGGGGUCUCAGAGUAACAAC